rnacentral:rRNA from 1 species
CCUACGGGAGGCAGCAGUGAGGAAUAUUGGUCAAUGGACGCAAGUCUGAACCAGCCAUGCCGCGUGCAGGAAGACGGCUCUAUGAGUUGUAAACUGCUUUUGUACGAGGGUAAACUCAGAUACGCGUACCUGUCUGAAUGUAUCGUACGAAUAAGGAUCGGCUAACUCCGUGCCAGCAGCCGCGGUAAUACGGAGGAUUCAAGCGUUAUCCGGAUUUAUUGGGUUUAAAGGGUGCGUAGGCGGUCGGAUAAGUUAGAGGUGAAAUCCCGAGGCUCAACUGCGGAAUUGCCUCUGAUACUGUUAGGCUAGAGAGUAGUUGCGGUAGGCGGAAUGUAUGGUGGAGCGGUGAAAUGCUUAGAGAUCAUACAGAACACCGAUUGCGAAGGCAGCUUACCAAGCUACGUCUGACGUUGAGGCACGAAAGCGUGGGGAGCAAACAGGAUUAGAUACCCUUGUAGUC